rnacentral:rRNA from 1 species
AUAGUAGUGUCAGAGUUUGAUCCUGGCUCGGGAUGAACGCUAGCUACAGGCUUAACACAUGCAAGUCGAGGGGCAGCAUGAAUAUUGGCUUGCCAAUAUUUGAUGGCGACCGGCGCACGGGUGAGUAACACGUAUCCAACCUUCCGGUUACUCGGGGAUAGGCUUUCGAAAGAAAGAUUAAUACCCGAUGUUGCGUAUCUUUCUCCUGAAAGAUACGCCAAAGGAUUCCGGUAACCGAUGGGGAUGCGUUCCAUUAGGCAGUUGGCGGGGUAACGGCCCACCAAACCUUCGAUCGGUAGGGGUUCUGAGAGGAAGGUCCCCCACAUAGGAACUGAGACACGGUCCUA